GGGGAUUUAGCUCAGUGGUAGAGCGCUUGCCUAGAAAGUGCAAGGCCCUGGGUUCGGUCCCCAGCUCCG
rfam:Rattus norvegicus chromosome 14, whole genome shotgun sequence.